UUUUGAGGUUAAACAUCUGUGUUAUCUCAAGGCAUGGCUAACCGUUAUCUGCUCUGUAAAGUUUUUUUGUACGCUCGUAGAUCAAGGGCUACUAGUAUUGCUGCAGAGCAUCAUCAUCAAUGCCUUCCUCACCCUGGUUCAGGGUAUAGGCCACAACAAGCGCUUUCUACCUUUCUCAGGCCUAGCCUCUUGAUGUUGUUCCAUGUCCUACUUUCCUGUGCAUUAAUUUCUGUGAAUCUGUGAAGGUACAAUUAUACACGUAUGCCACAUUGGGCAUAAUUGACCAAAUAUGCCACAUGAAAUCCAAUGAAAUGUCUCCCUGUGGAUAUGAUCCCCCCCCCCCUUUUUCCCAUGAAAAAGGUCUCUAUAACCAGCAGUUUAAGGUAAUGUCCUGCAUAUUUUGAAACCCUCAUAGUUCUCUCACAUACUUUGUUUUCUCUGAGUUGCUGAGAACUUCCGUGAUCUGUGUUUUCACUUUUACUUCCUGGAACCGUUCCUCAGUUUCUAAUGACGUAGUCUGUAAGGGGAAGCACCGGGCCUCAAACCACUUACCAUGUAAGGGUUUUAUGUGGAUAAGAUAUUGUACAGAGGCACCGAUAAACAUGUAUUCGUGUGUUGGGGCAACUUAUCCCAUUGAUGACGGGCGGUCUGGUCACUCGACACCGCGAUGUUUCGGGACACUGUAAAAUGGAAACAUAACUUCGUUAUAAUUCAAACCGGUUUGCCGAUUCUGUUUUCUUUAUAUGAAACUUAAAAACGCAGCACCCAACCUCAUGUGGCUGGUGAUAACUAUUGAGCAAGUCGACUGAAUUAAAAAACCCC